UCUGUCUCGCGUUGUAUCGUUUUGCCUGACCUGCUCGUCAUGUCACCCUGUUUCUGUGGAUUUGGAUUUCUGUUUGGAUUACCUUGGUUUUUGGACCCUGUUUAUCAGCCACUCUGCCAGUAAGUGUGCUCGCCUUUUGUUCGUUGAAAUAAACCUUUUGUACUAUACCUCCUCUGCUAGGCGUCCUGCAUUUGGGUCCUCCAGCCUUCUCCACACCGCAAACAAGCGAUCAGGUGUCUCCAGGAUGAUUACUGUGUGAGUGAUUUCUACACUCGUUACCAUCUGGGUAGGAGGACUGGCGUACGCAGCCUUCUCACCGCCAGACCAUCUGCAGCCCACAGAAUCACGCAGCAACCCAUGCAUGAGCCACUGUAACAUAGAUGGAGCAGCUGAGAACCACGAACUGUAAAUAAAUACAACCAUGUUAAAUACA